rnacentral:rRNA from 1 species
GCAAGUCGAACGAAGCUUUAGGGCUUAGUGGCGGACGGGUGAGUAACGCGUGAGAAUCUGCCUCGAGGAUGGGGACAACAGUUGGAAACGACUGCUAAUACCCAAUAUGGCAAAAGCUGAAAUUAUUUAGCCUUGAGAGGAGCUCGCGUCCGAUUAGUUAGUUGGUGGGGUAAAAGCCUACCAAGGCAGCGAUCGGUAGCUGGUCUGAGAGGAUGAGC